CCAAUAGCGUAUAUUAAAGUUGCUGCAGUUAAAAAGCUCGUAGUUGAAUUUCGGGACCGAUAUAUCGGUCGUGCCUCGGUACGUACUGGUAUUUUCGGUUUCUCCCUUCUGACGAACCUUGAUGUCAUUAAUUUGGUGUCUUGGGGAAUCAGGACUGUUACUUUGAAAAAAUUAGAGUGUUUAAAGCAGGCUCACGCUUGAAUACAUUAGCAUGUAAUAAUGAACUAGGACGUUUGAUUCUAUUUUGUUGGUUUCUAGGAUCGACGUAAUGAUUAAUAGG
rnacentral:rRNA from 1 species